GAUGAAGAACGCAGCGAAAUGCGAUAAGUAAUGUGGAUUGCAGAAUUCAGUGAAUCAUCGAAUCUUUGAACGCAACUUGCGCUCUCUGGUAUUCCGGAGAGCAUGCCUGUUUGAGUAUCAUGAAAUCUCAACCAUUAGGGUUUCUUAAUGGCUUGGAAUUGGGUGUUGCCAGUCGCCUGGCUCGCCUUAAAAGAGUUAGCGUGUUUAACUUGUCUAUCUGGCGUAAUAAGUUUCGCUGGUGUCGGCUUGAGAAGUACGCUUCUAAUCGUCUUCGGACAAUUCUUGAACUCUGGUCUCAAAUCAGGUAGGGCUACCCGCUGAACUUAAGCAUAUCAAUAAGCGGAGGA
rnacentral:misc_RNA from 1 species